rnacentral:rRNA from 1 species
UACGUAGGGAGCGAGCGUUGUCCGGAUUUACUGGGUGUAAAGGGUGCGUAGGCGGGAUUGCAAGUCAGGCGUGAAAUACCGGGGCUUAACUCCGGGGCUGCGCUUGAAACUGUAGUUCUUGAGUGAAGUAGAGGCAGGCGGAAUUCCUAGUGUAGCGGUGAAAUGCGUAGAUAUUAGGAGGAACACCAGUGGCGAGGCGGCCUGCUGGGCUUUAACUGACGCUGAGGCACGAAAGCAUGGGGAGCAAACAGGAUUAGAUACCCUGGUAGU